rnacentral:rRNA from 1 species
AGUGAACGCUGGCGGCAGGCCUAACACAUGCAAGUCGAGCGGCCACACAAGAGAGUUUGCUCUCUGGGUUUCGCGUCGGAGAGGGGAGUAAAAUAUAGCGAACCUACCCCUAAGGCUGGGGUAAACUCAGGAAACCUUAGCCAAUACCGGCAAAUAUCUUUCACGGCAAGGUUGGAGAGCGCAAGACCUCUUUGCUGUCACUUAUAGAUUGCCCCACGAGGGAUUAGCUAGUUGGUUGGGUAACGACUUACCAAGGCGACGACGCGUAGCCGAUCUGAGAGGGUGAUCGGCCACACUGGAACUGAGACACGGUCCAGACUCCUACGGGAGGCAGCAGUGGGGAAUCUUGGACAAUGGGCGAAAGCCUGAUGCAGCCAUACCGCGUGGGUGAAGAAGGUCUUCGGGUCGUAAAGCUCUGUUGUUGGGAAAGAAAACAUGCAGGCGAAUCUCUGGGGGUGAUGACGGUACCCAAAGAAAAAGCCCCGGCUAACUUCGUG